UAACAAUGACCAAGCUUCUUAAGUGAACAAUCACUGUGUGUGUGUGUUUAUUUAAUAGUUUAGAAGGAUGGUGCUUAAGCAGAUUACACAGAACAUUCUGAAAGACAUGCUUUAAAAAAGACUUCAUCGGAUGGCAUAGCUGAGGGCCAAGAAAUAUUAUAUAUAUUACCUACCCUGUUCAUUAUUAGUAUGGUUUAAAAUUUUUCUUCAGUAGUAAUUGGAACAAAAAUGAAGUUGGAUACUAAGAAAAAUCCUAUUUGAGACCAGUGUGAAAGUCUACUCUUGAUGUCUAGGUACACAAAACCCAGUUCUAUUGAUCACAUUUUGCUUUUUAUUCACACUUUCAACUCAUCAUUGUAAAAAGAAUGGGAUAAGGACAAUGUUUUUGUUUUAGUGCAUUUGUAUUUUCAAUACAGACACAUUACAUCUAGAGAUUUAUACUCACCAAUUUCAUUCUGUAGAGAAAGAUUCCGAGACAAAUUCCUCAGCAGAGAGACGGCAGUCUUUUUCACACUUGGAUCACCAAUAUGCAGCAUCUUUCGUGUGUGCUGAAGGCCAUUUUCCUUCUGGACAACCGUCUGAGCUACUGAUGUUGGCAUCUGUUUUGUGAGACAUGUCCUAUAAAUACUUACGAUAUUUCAUUUUGGGCACGUGGGAUCUUAGUUCCCCAAUCAGGGAUUGAACCUGGGCCCUCUGCAUUGGGAGCAUGAGUCUUAACCACUGGAAUGCCAGGGACGUCCCAGUAGUAAAGUAUUUUUACAUUAAGGUGGCAAAAUCAGAGCAAUGAGUGGAAAUUCUGAGGAAGGAGAUUUUGGCUCAGUGAAAGCAUAACUUCUAAAAGAACUCUGAAGAAAACAGAAAGAUCUUGUAAGAUCCAGCAUUAUCACUGGAGCCAACAAAAAUAAGCUCAUCUUUUAUGAAAAUAUGAACAAGGGCUUUAUCUCAAAAAUAGAGUAUUAGAAGAGACUAGCAGUUUUCAAAUGAGCCCAGUGGCAAAUCAGAAUCACGUACUCUUGGAAGGACUGAUGCUGAAGCUGAAACUCCAGUACUUUGGCCACCUCAUGCGAAGAGUUGACUCAUUGG